rnacentral:rRNA from 1 species
UACGGAGGAUCCAAGCGUUAUCCGGAUUUAUUGGGUUUAAAGGGUGCGUAGGUGGUUUUUUAAGUCAGGGGUGAAAGACGGCAGCUUAACUGUCGCAGUGCCUUUGAUACUGAAGAACUUGAAUUAACUAGAGGUAGGCGGAAUGUGACAAGUAGCGGUGAAAUGCAUAGAUAUGUCACAGAACACCAAUUGCGAAGGCAGCUUACUACAGGGAUAUUGACACUGAGGCACGAAAGCGUGGGGAUCAAACAGG